GGUCCGGUCAUAGGGCAGGGGAAACACCCGGACCCGUUCCGAACCCGGAAGUUAAGCCCUGCCCGCACGGCGAGUAGUGGGGUGGGAGACCACCCGCGAAAGCCGUGUGCUGGACCCCU
rnacentral:rRNA from 1 species